UACGAAGGGGGCUAGCGUUGCUCGGAGUCACUGGGCGUAAAGCGCACGUAGGCGGAUUGUUAAGUCGGGGGUGAAAUCCUGGAGCUCAACUCCAGAACUGCCUUCGAUACUGGCGAUCUUGAGUCCGGGAGAGGUGAGUGGAACUCCGAGUGUAGAGGUGAAAUUCGUAGAUAUUCGGAAGAACACCAGUGGCGAAGGCGGCUCACUGGCCCGGUACUGACGCUGAGGUGACGAAAGCGUGGGGAGCAAACAGG
rnacentral:rRNA from 1 species